GUUAGGAAUAUUGGACAAUGGGCGCAAGCCUGAUCCAGCCAUGCCGCGUGAGUGAUGAAGGCCUUCGGGUCGUAAAGCUCUUUAGUCCACGAAUAUAAUGACUGUAGUGGAAGAAUAAGCCCCGGCUAACUUCGUGCCAGCAGCCGCGGUAAUACGAAGGGGGCGAGCGUUAUUCGGAAUCACUGGGCGUAAAGCGUGCGUAGGCUGUUUUGUAAGUCAGAAGUGAAAGCCCAGGGCUUAACCCUGGAAUUGCUUUUGAAACUACAAGACUCGGAUUCGGGAGAGGAUAGCGGAAUUGUCAGUGUAGCAGUGAAAGGCGUAGAUAUUGACAGGAACACCAGUGGCGCAAGCGGCUAUCUGGACCGAUAUUGACGCUGAGGCACGAAAGCGUGGGGAGCAAACAGGAUUAGAUACCCUGGUAGUCC
rnacentral:rRNA from 1 species